CAAAACUGCCCUGAGCUCACAGACGCUUUCACCUUGACGAUCCCAUAAGAAAACAAUUCUGGGGAUGGAGAGCUUUAUUUCUCAGGCUGUGAACUUCUCUGCCUGCACAGGAGCUGCUUCUGUAGCCCAUGAAGAAGUCACCAGAAGCCUUCUCUAUCCAUGCUGUGGGAGUGGACGCCUUUUCCAUGCUGCCCAGUUACACGGACAGGACCAGCAUGAAGAAAAAGCUUUAAAACAGUGGAACACAAAAGGAAACAGAGGAUGAAUCGCCUCGGCCUCACCAUGCAAUCUACCUCCAAGCAUUCUUAAUUGACAUCUUCCUUGCUACAGUUUAAAUGGAUUACACUUUGAUCUGCCCACCCUUGAGAACAGCACAGUAAUGAAGUUGAACACACAGCACAAUAAUUUCCUCUUUUCUUCCCAUAAAUGUUUGCAUAUUUGUUGAAGUCUGCUACACCUUCUUAGUUACUUUCUCUGGGUUAAAUUAUACCACUCAUUCAAUCCUCUCAAGUAGAUUAUGUUUUCCAGACCACUGGCUGCUUCUGUUCCUCUCCUUUGGACAGUUUCUUAUUGAUCAGCCACUUCUGGAGAUUAGUCCCUUGUUCUGCUGUCACAACAAGGCAAACAAGGUAACAGCUGGUCGUGGAAAUGAGUUAUGUUGAUGAAAGAGGGAGGUUUGGUGCUCACUGGGAUUGGUGGAGGCUCACAGGAAAGUUCAUACAGGUUUGGUCCCACAGAUCCAUUUUUUCAAAGAUGGGGUUCUAAUUCUGGAUGGAUCAAUACUUUCUGCCAAGACCCCAACAUAUGCUCACCAUGAAGUAAGUGAGUAAUGCAUUAAAGUUAAGGAAACACAGUGUGUAGAUUCAAACUUAUGCCUGCAUUUUACAGAAACAGGAACUGCU